CCUGCGGGAUGCCUUCCAUGCAAGUCGAACGGCAGCGCGGACUUCGGUCUGGCGGCGAGUGGCGAACGGGUGAGUAAUGUAUCGGAACGUGCCCAGUAGCGGGGGAUAACUACUCGAAAGAGUAGCUAAUACCGCAUACGCCCUACGGGGGAAAGGGGGGGAUCGCAAGACCUCUCACUAUUGGAGCGGCCGAUAUCGGAUUAGCUAGUUGGUGAGGUAAAGGCUCACCAAGGCGACGAUCCGUAGCUGGUUUGAGAGGACGACCAGCCACACUGGGACUGAGACACGGCCCAGACUCCUACGGGAGGCAGCAGUGGGGAAUUUUGGACAAUGGGGGAAACCCUGAUCCAGCCAUUCCGCGUGUGCGAUGAAGGCCUUCGGGUUGUAAAGCACUUUUGGCAGGAAAGAAAUCGCAUGGAUUAAUACUCUGUGUGGAUGACGGUACCUGCAGAAUAAGCACCGGCUAACUACGUGCCAGCAGCCCGCGGUAAUA
rnacentral:rRNA from 1 species